AUGGGUCAUGUCUCCGACGCGUGGCAUUGGCAUGCCAGGCUAGGACACCAGCACUUCGACGGGUUGUGGAAGAUGGCGCGAGGCAACCUCGUUCACGGGCUGCCUCACAUCGAGCACGCUGACGAGCUGUGCAAUGCAUGUCUUGCCGGGAAGCAGCGGCGCCUGCCCUUUCCCGAGAAGGCAUGCUAUCGGGCGCAGAAACCCCUAGAGCUGGUUCAUGGGGACCUCUGCAGUCCAAUCACCCUGGCAAUGCCAGGAGGGCGUCGCUACAUCCUGCUGCUAGUCGACGACUACAACAGGUUCAUGUGGGUGCUGCUCCUCGCCUCCAAGGAUGAGGAGGAGCGAGCCAUUGUCAAGUAG
rnacentral:rRNA from 1 species